rnacentral:rRNA from 1 species
UGAGAGGGUGAUCGGCCACACUGGAACUGAGACACGGUCCAGACUCCUACGGGAGGCAGCAGUAGGGAAUCUUCCGCAAUGGGCGAAAGCCUGACGGAGCAACGCCGCGUGAGUGAUGAAGGUCUUCGGAUCGUAAAACUCUGUUAUUAGGGAAGAACAUAUGUGUAAGUAACUGUGCACAUCUUGACGGUACCUAAUCAGAAAGCCACGGCUAACUACGUGCCAGCAGCCGCGGUAAUACGUAGGUGGCAAGCGUUAUCCGGAAUUAUUGGGCGUAAAGCGCGCGUAGGCGGUUUUUUAAGUCUGAUGUGAAAGCCCACGGCUCAACCGUGGAGGGUCAUUGGAAACUGGAAAACUUGAGUGCAGAAGAGGAAAGUGGAAUUCCAUGUGUAGCGGUGAAAUGCGCAGAGAUAUGGAGGAACACCAGUGGCGAAGGCGACUUUCUGGUCUGUAACUGACGCUGAUGUGCGAAAGCGUGGGGAUCAAACAGGAUUAGAUACCCUGGUAGUCCACGCCGUAAACGAUGAGUGCUAAGUGUUAGGGGGUUUCCGCCCCUUAGUGCUGCAGCUAACGCAUUAAGCACUCCGCCUGGGGA